rnacentral:rRNA from 1 species
UACGUAGGAGGCAAGCGUUGUCCGGAAUUACUGGGCGUAAAGCGCGUGUAGGCGGUCUGAAUAGUCUGCUGUGAAAGCGCCUGGCUUAACCGGGCGAGGUCGGCGGAAACUCUCAGACUGGAGGCCGGUAGAGGGGGGUGGAAUUCCCGGUGUAGUGGUGAAAUGCGUAGAGAUGUGGAGGAACACCGAUGGCGAAGGCAGCCCCCUGGGUCAAGAUUGACGCUCGAUGCACGGAAAGCGUGGGGAGCAAACAGG